rnacentral:lncRNA from 1 species
GCUCAGUUUUGGAGGUCUUCAUGACGUUCCAAUGACCUUUCUUCUCAGGUAGAGAGGAUUGAACCAUGUGGUGAGGAGUAGCAGGAGGUCUGAGUCCUAGAGGCUUCCAUCAUGCUCUAGGACGCGGAACAGACUAACCUCGUGAAUGUGGCAGGGCAAGGGAGUCCAAGUAUCACAAGCCACCACGUGUGCAUGGCCGGC